AUCACCAGCUAAGGCCCCUAAAUAAUGACUAAGUGAUAAAGGAAGUGGAAAGGCUUAGACAACCAGGAGGUUUGCUUAGAAGCAGCAAUCCUUUAAAAAGUGCGUAAUAGCUUACUGGUCUAGCAAUUCUGCGCCGAAAACUUAUGGGACUAAGUCAUUUGCCGAAGCUGUGAGAUAAAAGUAAAUUUUUAUCGGUAGGGGAGCGUUCUGUUGUAGGAUGAAGUGUUAGCGAAAGCGGGCAUGGACGAAACAGAAGUGAAAAUGUCGGAUUGAGUAGCGAAAACAUUGGUGAGAAUCCAAUGCUCCGAAAACCUAAGGUUUCCUCCGCAAGGCUCGUCCACGGAGGGUUAGUCAGGUCCUAAGGUGAGGCUGAAAAGCGUAGUUGAUGGACAAUAGGUUAAUAUUCCUAUACUGGGAUUGAUUGGUAACGAGGGACGAAGAAGGCUAGGCUAGCCAGAUAUGGGUUACUGGUUUAAGUUUUCAAGGUAUUGAAGGUUAGAGAAAAUAAUCUGAGCUAAGAAACGAAUACACGAUUUUAAUAAUCAAAGUAGUUGAUGUCAUACUUCCAAGAAAAGCUCGCUAUGCCAUAAAUCAAUUUCACCUGUACCUUAAACCGACACAGGUAGGUAGGUAGAGAAUACCAAGGAGCGCGGGAGAACCCUCUUUAAGGAACUCGGCAAAAUAGCUCUGUAACUUCGGAAGAAAGAGUGCCUUUUAGGCUGCAAUAUCAAGUUCCAAGCAACUGUUUAGCAAAAACACAGGUCUCCGCAAAGUUGUAAAACGACGUAUGGGGGCUGACGCCUGCCCAGUGCCGGAAGGUUAAAGAAGUUGGUUAGCGUAAGCAAAGCUAGUGACUGAAGCCCCGGUGAACGGCGGCCGUAACUAUAACGGUCCUAAGGUAGCGAAAUUCCUUGUCGGGUAAGUUCCGACCCGCACGAAUGGCGUAAUGAUUUGG
rnacentral:rRNA from 1 species